rnacentral:rRNA from 1 species
UACGAAGGGUGCAAGCGUUACUCGGAAUUACUGGGCGUAAAGCGUGCGUAGGCGGUUCGUUAAGUCCGUUGUGAAAGCCCUGGGCUCAACCUGGGAAUGGCAGUGGAUACUGGCGAGCUAGAGUGUGAUAGAGGAUGGUGGAAUUCCCGGUGUAGCGGUGAAAUGCGUAGAGAUCGGGAGGAACACCGAUGGCGAAGGCAGCCCCCUGGGCUAACACUGACGCUCAGGCACGAAAGCGUGGGGAGCAAACGAGG